rnacentral:rRNA from 1 species
AGAGUUUGAUCCUGGCUCAGAUUGAACGCUGGCGGCAGGCCUAACACAUGCAAGUCGAGCGGAAACGGCAGCAUUGAAGCUUCGGUGGAUUUGCUGGACGUCGAGCGGCGGACGGGUGAGUAACGGCUGGGAACCUGCCCUGACGCGGGGGAUAACCGUUGGAAACGACGGCUAAUACCGCAUAAUGUCUCAGUUCAUUACGAGCUGGGACCAAAGGUGGCCUCUACAUGUAAGCUAUCGCGUUGGGAUGGGCCCAGUUAGGAUUAGCUAGUUGGUAAGGUAAUGGCUUACCAAGGCGACGAUCCUUAGCUGGUUUGAGAGGAUGAUCAGCCACACUGGGACUGAGACACGGCCCAGACUCCUACGGGAGGCAGCAGUGGGGAAUAUUGCACAAUGGGGGAGACCCUGAUGCAGCCAUGCCGCGUGUGUGAAGAAGGCCUUCGGGUUGUAAAGCACUUUCAGCAGUGAGGAAGGUGGUGUACUUAAUAAGUGCAUGGCUUGACGUUAGCUGCAGAAGAAGCACCGGCUAACUCCGUGCCAGCAGCCGCGGUAAUACGGAGGGUGCGAGCGUUAAUCGGAAUUACUGGGCGUAAAGCGCAUGCAGGCGGUUUGUUAAGUCAGAUGUGAAAGCCCGGGGCUCAACCUCGGAACCGCAUUUGAAACUGGCAGGCUAGAGUCUUGUAGAGGGGGGUAGAAUUUCAGGUGUAGCGGUGAAAUGCGUAGAGAUCUGAAGGAAUACCAGUGGCGAAGGCGGCCCCCUGGACAAAGACUGACGCUCAGAUGCGAAAGCGUGGGUAGCAAACAGGAUUAGAUACCCUGGUAG